rnacentral:rRNA from 1 species
AAUCAACGCUGGCGGCGUGCCUAACACAUGCAAGUCGAGCGAGAAAGUGGGGGCAACUCCAUGAGUACAGCGGCGACCGGGUGAGUAACACGUGACUAACCUACCCUUGAGUGGGGAAUAACUCCGGGAAACCGGAGCUAAUACCGCAUAACACCGCAAGGUCAAAGGAGCAAUUCGCUUAAGGAGGGGUCGCGGUUGAUUAGCUAGUUGGUGGGGUAAUGGCCCACCAAGGCGAUGAUCAAUAGCCGGCCUGAGAGGGCGCACGGCCACACUGGAACUGAAACACGGUCCAGACUCCUACGGGAGGCAGCAGUGGGGAAUUUUGCGCAAUGGGGGAAACCCUGACGCAGCAACGCCGCGUGAAGGAUGAAGGUCUUUGGAUUGUAAACUUCUUUCGUCC